UCCAUGAAGACGGUCUGGUGCAUGUGGACGUAUCAUAUGGAGUUGGAGUCUAUGCGCCCCUUUAUGAUGUGGAUACUUCGGGAGAACCAAAGCCCGGGUCACCACAAAUUAAAGAGCUAAGAUCAAAACUUUAGCCUCAACAGCAACCGAGAUCAGAUGCCAGGACACAAACAACCUCUGCAAACCAGCACAAGUACCACGCUCCACCCUCCAUUCUCCAGCUAUAACUUUUACCAUCCACCUACAAACCAAACAUGCAUCAUGAGAUGUCUAACUCCUCGCCACUUACAGCCUCUAUCACUCUGCUGCUGAUCCAACCUCACCUGCAGACAGCUGCAGCCUGAUCCUCCAACUUCAACAGCCAUCAAACUGCACCACUGCAUCCCAAACUGCCAUGUCAAGACCUACGUGGAAGAGCUGGGACCAGAGAUACACUUGUAAACCUACCUUUCAGACCUUGUUGGACUUCACAUACUUCCAGAUGUGCCAGGAGCGGAUCAAGGACCGUGAGGACAGUCCCUUCCACAAGUGCUGUGAACCAGAGAACCAACUCCUGCUCCUCUCCCAAACUGAGAGUGCCCCUCCCUCUCACAUCUCAGUUCCACCACCUGUUUCUCCCCAGGUAGAUUAAUGGAGGUCAGAAGGAUACAGAGACGCUCCACCUGAGAAUUUAGAGCCUAACAUUUCCAACCAUGCUCCCUAAAAAGACGACCAGCUAGCUUGCUCUAGUACUCUAUAAGCCUUUGGGCUGUUGCUCAAUAAAGUUCAUCAUUCUCUGUA